UACUUUCUGAAUCCGGAUCGAUAUUUCAUCAGACACUAGACCAUCAGGAUUGAUGAGACUCACAAGAUCAGUGAAGAG
rfam:Schistosoma margrebowiei strain Zambia genome assembly, scaffold: SMRZ_contig0000857